AGUAGUAGCUUCAUCUUUAUCUUCGUUUUCAGAUUUUUGUGUAGCCUUUGGCACUGUCCUGUAAUAAAGUUUUCCAUCUAAUGUCUUCACAGGAAGAGCAUCCACAGGAUCAACCUCUAGUCCCUGUUUUUCUGUUUCUUUAUCAAGUGACUUCUUCUUUAAUCGCCUUUCAUACAGAGACUCUAGCUCAUCUUCUUUCACAUCGGCAACACGAGUAACAUGCUUAUUAAUUGACUUCGUAUCCAAAUUCGACAAGAAUCCAGUAUAUUCUCGAUUUUCGCUUACAAAAAGCACGUCUUCAUCUGAUACUUCGACUGCUUCAUCAGGAACUUCCGGUGGAAGAUCAGGAGGUAGCACAAUCUUUUGCUUUUUCUUCCCCAUUACUAAUAAUCUACUUUAAU
rnacentral:misc_RNA from 1 species